rnacentral:rRNA from 1 species
GACGAACGCUGGCGGCGUGCUUAACACAUGCAAGUCGAACGCUGAAGCACCAGCUUGCUGGUGUGGAUGAGUGGCGAACGGGUGAGUAAUACGUGAGUAACCUGCCCUUGACUCUGGGAUAAGCCCGGGAAACUGGGUCUAAUACUGGAUGCUACAUGUCACCGCAUGGUGGUGUGUGGAAAGGGUUUACUGGUCUUGGAUGGGCUCACGGCCUAUCAGCUUGUUGGUGAGGUAAUGGCUCACCAAGGCGACGACGGGUAGCCGGCCUGAGAGGGUGACCGGCCACACUGGGACUGAGACACGGCCCAGACUCCUACGGGAGGCAGCAGUGGGGAAUAUUGCACAAUGGGCGAAAGCCUGAUGCAGCGACGCCGCGUGCGGGAUGACGGCCUUCGGGUUGUAAACCUCUUUCAGCAGGGAAGAAGCCACAAGUGACGGUACCUGCAGAAGAAGCGCCGGCUAACUACGUG